rnacentral:lncRNA from 1 species
CAUAUUAUCCACUAGGAUUUUAAUUCAUUUUAAUUUUGAUAUUAAUGGUGGAGAUGGUAUUAUAAUAGUUACGUGAUGAAGACUACUCCGAAAGAUUGACGAAGAUGGUGGCUACGUAGAGGAUUUUUGGUGAUGGCAGCUAGAAGGACUGAAGAAGAGCAGAGGAGGGUAAUGAAGAAAGAAGAAGAAACAAAAAAAGAAAAAGAAAAUGAAGUUAAUAAAAUAAGAAAAAAACAAAAUGAAACUAAAGAUUAAAAAU